rnacentral:lncRNA from 1 species
CUGCAUAAAUGUCUUCUUUUGAGAAGUGUCUUUUCAUAUCCUUUGCCCACUUUUUGAUGGGGUUGUUUGUUUUUUUCUCGUAAAUUUGUAUGAGUUCAUUGUGGAUUCUGGAUAUUAGUCCUUUGUCAGACGAGUAGAUUGCGAACAUUUUCUCCCAUUCUGUAGGUUGCCUGUUCACUCUGAUGGUAGUUUCUUUAUUUUUAAUAACCACCUACAGUUAUUUAUUCAUUCAUUUUAGCUAUUACUAAGUUUUAGGUAUCCAGUUGAGAACAUUAUAUUUACUUUAGCAAAUAAAAUACAGGAAUUCAAAUUCUUGAAUUCCAGAUAAGCAGAAAAGAAGUUUUAGCUUACAUACAUCCUGUGCAAUAUUUGAUACCUAUAUAUAGUGACUUGAGUAAUGGCCUUGAAAGAAGAUAUGUUCAUGGUGCUAACACCUGUGAAAAUGACCUAUUUAGAAAAAGGUUUUGUAGAUGUAAUUAAGGUUCUGGAGAUGAGUCAUCUUGGAAUUAGAAAGGGCCCUAAAUGUAGUGGUGAGUGUCCUUAUAAAAAGGGAGAAGAACACACACACACACAUACACACAUGAUGUGAACAUCGAGGCAAUUCGGAGUGAAGCGUCUGCAUGCCAAGGGGCACCGAGGACUUCCAGCAGCCACUAGAAACCGGGAGGGAGGCCUGAAAUAGAUUAUCCGUCACAGGCUCAGAAGGAAGCAGACCUGCUGACAUCUUCAUUUUGGACCUGUAAAAUCCUGAACUAUGACUGGAUGCAGAAGAGAGAGAUACAAGACCACAUGAUGGAAGGGGCCAUCCUCACUGACUUCACCACCUGGAAGGAAGCUAUGGAGGAGAAUUGCCCAAACAAAUACAACUGCAUCAAAUUUUGCCUCUGUAAGAAAUAGAUCUUUGUUAUGCUACAAUAGGUCCCUGAGAUUUGGAUUUUAUUUGUUAUAGUAGCUAGCAUUAUUUUUACUUAAUAAAUGGUUCUUAAUAAAUGGUUUACUUAAUAAAUGGUUCUCACGGUUCUGUAAAGCUGCAACAUGCUUUUAAAAUGUUCAGACACAAUGAUCAAACAACAGGAAGCCAAUAAAG